rnacentral:rRNA from 1 species
UCUUGAGUAUGGUUGAGGCAGGCGGAAUGUGUUGUGUAGCGGUGAAAUGCAUAGAUAUGACACAGAACACCGAUUGCGAAGGCAGCUUGCUAAGCCAUUACUGACGCUGAGGCACGAAAGCGUGGGGAUCAAACAGGAUUAGAUACCCUGGUAGUCCACGCCGUAAACGAUGUUCACUCGCUGUUUGCGAUACACAGCAAGCGGCUAAGCGAAAGCAUUAAGUGAACCACCUGGGGAGUACGAUCGCAAGGUUGAAACUCAAAGGAAUUGACGGGGGCCCGCACAAGCGGAGGAACAUGUGGUUUAAUUCGAUGAUACGCGAGGAACCUUACCUGGGCUUAAAUGUAGACUGCAUAGGGUAGAGAUAUCCUUUCCCUUCGGGGCUGUUUACAAGGUGCUGCAUGGUUGUCGUCAGCUCGUGCCGUGAGGUGUCGGGUUAAGUCCCAUAACGAGCGCAACCCCUGCCGUUAGUUGCCAUCGGGUUAUGCCGGGAACUCUAGCGGGACUGCCACCGUAAGGUGAGAGGAAGGCGGGGAUGACGUCAAAUCAGCACGGCCCUUAUGUCCAGGGCUACACACGUGUUACAAUGGCCGGUACAGAGGGCAGCUACUUAGCGAUAAGAUGCCAAUCCCUAAAGCCGGUCCCAGUUCGGAUUGGAGUCUGCAACCCGACUCCAUGAAGUUGGAUUCGCUAGUAAUCGCGCAUCAGCCAUGGCGCGGUGAAUACGUUCCCGGGCCUUGUACACACCGCCCGUCAAACCAUGGGAGCUGGGGGUACCUGAAGUCUGUGACCGCAAGGAACGGCCUAGGGUAAAACCAGUGACUGGGGUUAAGUCGUAACAAGGUAACC